AGGUAGAGGGGUUUUAGUCGGUAGGUCCGAGGACUUGCUCUUCGGAAAUCCGACACUACCCAGUCGUACGGACAGCUGGGUGUCUUUUGAAGAUUUCCCCUCUUCC
rfam:Agrilus planipennis Contig45516, whole genome shotgun sequence.